GUGGAUUAGAUACCCGGGUAGUCCACGCUGUAAACGAUGGGUACUAGGUUUGGUGGGUCUUGACCCCCGCCGAACCGGCGCUAACGCACUAAGUACCCCGCCUGGGAAGUACGGUCGCAAGACUAAAACUCAAAGGAAUUGACGGGGGCCCGCACAAGCGGUGGAUCAUGUGGUUUAAUUCGAAGCAACGCGAAGAACCUUACCUGGAUUUGACAUCUCCUGACAACCCUAGAGAUAGGGCUUCUGUAGCAAUACAGCAGGAAGACAGGUGCUGCAUGGCCGUCGACAGCU
rnacentral:rRNA from 1 species